rnacentral:rRNA from 1 species
GCAGUCGAGCGGACCGAAGGGAGCUUGCUCCUUUAGGUUAGCGGCGGACGGGUGAGUAACACGUGGGCAACCUGCCCUGCAGACUGGGAUAACUUCGGGAAACCGGAGCUAAUACCGGAUAACACCGAAAACCGCAUGGUUUUCGGUUGAAAGGCGGCAUUAGCUGUCACUGCAGGAUGGGCCCGCGGCGCAUUAGCUAGUUGGUGAGGUAACGGCUCACCAAGGCGACGAUGCGUAGCCGACCUGAGAGGGUGACCGGCCACACUGGGACUGGGACACGGCCCAGACUCCUACGGGAGGCAGCAGUAGGGAAUCUUCCGCAAUGGACGAAAGUCUGACGGAGCAACGCCGCGUGAGUGAAGAAGGUUUUCGGAUCGUAAAGCUCUGUUGUCAGGGAAGAACAAGUACCGUUCGAACAGGGCGGUACCUUGACGGUACCUGACGAGGAAGCCACGGCUAACUACGUGCCAGCAGCCGCGGUAAU